AGAGUUUGAUCCUGGCUCAGGAUGAACGCUGGCGGCGUGCUUAACACAUGCAAGUCGAGCGAAGCACUUGUAUUUGAUUUCUUCGGAAGGAAGAUACAUUUGACUGAGCGGCGGACGGGUGAGUAACGCGUGGGUGACCUGCCCCAUACCGGGGGAUAACAGCUGGAAACGGCUGCUAAUACCGCAUAAGCGCACGGAGCUGCAUGGCUCAGUGUGAAAAACUCCGCGG
rnacentral:rRNA from 1 species